rnacentral:rRNA from 1 species
UACGUAGGGUGCAAGCGUUGUCCGGAAUUAUUGGGCGUAAAGAGCUCGUAGGCGGUCUGUCGCGUCGGCUGUGAAAACCCGCGGCUCAACCGCGGGCCUGCAGCCGAUACGGGCAGGCUAGAGUUCGGUAGGGGAGACUGGAAUUCCUGGUGUAGCGGUGAAAUGCGCAGAUAUCAGGAGGAACACCGGUGGCGAAGGCGGGUCUCUGGGCCGAUACUGACGCUGAGGAGCGAAAGCGUGGGGAGCGAACAGG